rnacentral:rRNA from 1 species
CAGUCGCCGCGGUAAUACAGAGGAUGCAAGUGUUAUCUGGAAUGAUUGGGCGUAGAGCAUCUAUAGGUAUCUUUUCAAGUCCGCCAUCAAAUCCACGUGCUCAACCGGGGAGGGUCAUUGGAAACUGGGAAACUUGAGUGCAGAAGAGGAGAGUGGAAUUCCACGUGUAGCGGUGAAAUGCGUAGAGAUGUGGAGGAACACCAGUGGCGAAAGCGGCUCUCUGGCUUGUAACUGACGCUGAGGCUCGAAAGCGUGGGGAGCAAACAGGAUUAGAUACCCCCGUAGUCCCUGUCUCUUAUAC